GAUUGCCGACUAACCCGAACUGGACUGUUCGACCUGUACCAAACGAAAUUGAUGCCGACCGGGAAUGGUUCAGCAUGUAGGUCAUUUUGGCUAUAAAUCAAUCUCCCCUCACCCUGAGGGUUCUCGAAGGGCUCUCUUGUUCGCAUUCAAUUCUUCGUGGGUCUCCUUUGUUGCCGAUUGUCAUUCUGCUUCAUUGGUAAGCUUUUCCUCCCUCUCUCUUCCCUUGCAUCCAUGGUGGUUCCCUCCUCCGCUGUUGCCGCUUCUUCUUCGCCGCCAGAAAGAGCUUAGGGGAUUCUUAUCCCCAUCUCUUUCACUCUGACUCUUGCCCUCUCUCCCCCUGCAUCCACGGCAGCACCCUCCUCUGCAGUUGUUGCUUCUUCUUCACUGCUAGGAAGAGAUAGGGUUCGAAAUAGAAGAAUUUUCUCCCCAACAACCACACCCUGCUGCAUCCAUGGCGGCCCUCGUCCCUUCUUUCUCUCCUCAUUUUUAGUAUGCCCUAGAACGGCAAGCUAUGGAUCCAUACUAUACCGAACUGAUGGCUGCUGAAGCAAGGAGGGAAAGAUAUCCAUCUACCGUAUCUUUUCUUAACUUGCUAAAUGUGCUGACUUGCUACCAGGUAAGAGAUCUUUCUACUGCCCUCAGCCUCCAAUCUUGUUGUCGAUUUGUAAUUAAAUAGCUUAUAGUUUUUGGUUUAUCAAGUUUGUGGGGAUCUUUAGGUCUGUGUAUGGCCUGGUAUUUGGGCAUUUUCCUCAGAGAGCCAAUGCCGAUCUUAGUGAAAAGUGCCUGUUAGUUGUUACUUGCCUCAGCACUUCUGAACAUGAGUAUUGUUUUUACGUAUUCUGUCAGAGUCUGCCUUUUAGUUGAGAUCUUGGAGCGUCAAAGUAUUCUUAACAAGUGUUUGCCUUUGGAUAUAUUCUUAAACUCAUUGUUGCUGACUUUUUGAUUGACUUUUCUGCGAGAUUCUCAGCUAAACAAGAAAAAAAUGUCAUAUGCUUGAUGAAAUUCUCUUCCAGAAGUUAUGAAUGUGACACCCUGUUUUUGGGCAUGGGCUAGCUGGGUGGAAAUCAACCUAGCUUGCAGCGAUCCUCGCUGCAAGGGAGGGCAGAGCCGCGCGACAUCGCUAGAGCCCCGUCCCUCUUCUUUCCUUUCCGGCAAAUCUCCUCGCUGGCGAGCUCCGGUUUUGGAAGGAUAGCGAGAGAUCGCAGAAUCUGCGGUCUCUUCCCUCUAUUUCUUCCCCUCCCUGUCUGCUUGGGCUCACCGAGCCCUUCUUCCUCCUCCAUCCCUCUCCCUUCUUUUCUCCCUAUGAUUUACGGUAGAGACUAGCAACCUAUGAUAAUGAUAAUGCAGUAGAAACAUUUGAUUGCUAUUCGCUAACUAUUUGGAUAAGACCUGAAGUGUUGCAAAAUGGUGAGAAACGGGUUGCUUUGCAAAUGCUUAUAGUUAUCUUAGUAUGUAGUCCACUGGGCAGAAAAAGAUGACAUAUUUGUCAGUAAAUGCAAUUAUUACCUUGUUAAAUUUAAUGUAAGAGCCAUUGAAGUUUGCUAUCUUUUGUUCUUGUUAGAUAUUUCUCCUCUUUUCUUCCUUUUUUUCCUCUUUAAUGUUCAAGAUUUGUUUUUCUGUAUACCUCUGUGUCUGAAAUGUUGAAUUAACAAGUAAGAACAAAACCCUCCCACAAAUUAUAGAUUUUGUCAAGGCAAACCAAUCAAUUUUUGAUCAAAUUUUAAGACAGGAUGUUGCAGUAGCUGUUGGGUUGACUUUAGAGCGGAUUUUCCUGUUUAAUGUUCAAGAUUUGUUUUUUCUGUAUACCUCUGAGUCUGUAAAUGUUGAAUUAACAAGUAAGAACGAAACUCUCCAUUGAAUUAUAGAUUUUGUCAAGGCACACCAAUCAAUUUUCGAUCAACUUUUAAGACAGGAUGUUGCAGUAGCUGUCGGGUUUACUUUAGUGCGGAUUAAUCUUGCUGUCUCUAUACUCAGCAAGGUAGACCAUAUUACAUGUUGAAGUUGAUAUCUGAGACUUCUUUGGUCUUUUCCUCUGGCAAUUUUAGUGAUGUUAGAAGCAUGGUGUAUUUUAUUGGUUUGGCUAAACGAAGAAAAUGCUGAGUAUGGCUUUGUUCAGGAACUUUUUUCCAUGAUACGUUUUCUUUUUCUUCUUGAUGAUGUGUCUUCCAGUUUUAUUCAUUCUUCAGAAUCUAUUUACUUCUUCGCUUCUAGAUAAUUACCAAACAGGAUAAUGCUAGCAUCACAUAACAAUGAUUUUGUUCUUACUUUUGGAACAAAUUUCUAAUCUUUCAGCCAUGCUUUAGCCUGAGAUUAUCUUUAUUUUCUGAUCACAAUGAAGCUCAUGUGGUUGCAGAUUCAAGACAUUAAUGAGCUAUCAAGGCAGGAGGUUGAUGAAAUCAUCAAUGCAACUAUGCGACAUGAUUGCAUCUCUUCUUAUGAUAAGAUCUGGAAACGUGUGGAAGAUGAUGGGAGGUGAAACCAAAGUAGAAGACAAAUUGGGCAGAUGAAGGACGACGCAUGAACAUGAUAAUUAAUUGCUAAAUCAAAGUGAUGCAAGCAUGCUUCCUUCUCAUAUAUAUUUAUAUUGGACCAUAUGAAUGUAUAUAAUGUGUAUAUAUGUAUGUGUCUGUUUGUGGUUACUAGAAUGCGAGAGCUAGCAUGUUGGUACUGGAGCACUAAAGAAUACGAGGAACUAUAUAUAUCAUUUGAACCGUAAAGAAAAUUCUAGAUUUUGAUA